UAAUACGAAGGGGGCUAGCGUUGCUCGGAAUCACUGGGCGUAAAGGGUGCGUAGGCGGGUCUUUAAGUCAGGGGUGAAAUCCUGGAGCUCAACUCCAGAACUGCCUUUGAUACUGAAGAUCUUGAGUUCGGGAGAGGUGAGUGGAACUGCGAGUGUAGAGGUGAAAUUCGUAGAUAUUCGCAAGAACACCAGUGGCGAAGGCGGCUCACUGGCCCGAUACUGACGCUGAGGCACG
rnacentral:rRNA from 1 species